rnacentral:lncRNA from 1 species
CUCGAGCUAAAAGUUAAGAUUUCCUUCCAAAGAGCAGUUCUAAGGAGUGUGGUUCGUUGUCCUCACUUCCCAAAACAGUUCUGUGGAAAAGAUUUAACAAGCAGCUUACUGCUGGGGGAAGGGAUUGGGAAAAGAGGGUGGCCCCUCAGGGUCACCAAGAUGUGAGGGCCUCUGGCAUGUAUACACACACGAGAGAUCCAAAACGCUUUAUUUGUAUGUUAAAAAGUGUUUACAUUGCAAAAGAGUUGAUAAUAUUAUAUACAUAUCUUUAUAUGUGUAAAUACAAGCAUACACAUAUACAGAAAAUAAAGGUCUCACACUCUGGAAGGAGAAAGAAAAAAACAGCCGAGCAAAGGAAAGCAGCCAAAAACCACAUCUACUAGCGCUGGAGUGGAUAGAGGGAGUAGAGAGAAAGAGAGAGGGAGAGGGGAUAGAGGAGGGAAUGGGGAGGGAUCAGUUUCUAGGCUAUAGGCUGUGGUUGGCUCUUCUGAUGGAAGGACUCGGGAUGGAUCGAGUUACACCAUUUGCCGUGCAUUAGUUUGUUUUUCCCCGCUCAGAACGCAGAGAGACACUUCAAGCUUGACAGAGUUGUUGCGAUCCAAAUCACGUAAAGAGAAUCACGGAUUCAGAUGAGGUGAGUUGAUUUCAUAGAGAAAAUGCAGCGUUACGAGCGUUUGAGCCAGUAAAAAAUAAAAAAGAGGGGGAAAGGGAAAGGAAACGACUAGAAAAGGAUUUCCAAAACAUCAGCGGUUGUCUACUCUAGUUCUAUUUGUGCAGCGCAAAAAUAGAACUGGAGCUAUUUUUAUUCACCCUGUUACCCAUUCACACUGAUUCGGAUUGUUUAUAAGCGGAGUGACGCACGCACUUAAAGUUCUUCAUUCUGAAGAGUAGAUCUCCAGGUAGUUACUUAGUUGGUGUUAUUUGGUUUGAGUUGUAUUGGUUUGGUUUGGUGACUCACGGGGGGAUGGUACUAUAGGAGAGGGAGGGUCCUGGUGCCAUUUGAUCGGUGAGCUUUUGAAGAUCACAAAGCUUUAUCACGAAGAGGAGCUGGACGAGCCCCACGGGCUCCGGGAAUUGUUUUGCGUGGUUCGGAUAAAACAAAUACAUGAGGAUCUUCUGGCUUUAUGGACCGAGCUGCACACAUGCUGUGUGAUCUUCACUGGAUUUAAUAGCGUAAAACACUUUGGAAUAUAACGCGGAGUGUAUCGCAGUCUACAUGCAUUUGGAGAACGUUCAGGUAGGAUUUCUGUUUUCCUUCUCACACUUUGUUGUCACAGAUUUUUGAGUAAAUGGAGUAUAUUGCUGUACCACAACUUUUUUUUUUUCCUGCAAUAAGACUGUUAAUUCAAGAAGGCUGGAAGCGCUUGGAUAAAAAUAAAUGAAUGUAUUUGGCAUUAUUAAUGAGAAAAACAGUGCCACACAUCCUGUUGAUACAGUGCGUUUAUUCGAUUAAAGGGAAAAUACUUUAUAUAUAGCGUUUGUAUUAGCCCUAUGUUUGAUAUUAUCAUAAUAUAAAUGAAAAAUAUAAAUUAGCCUACAAAAGCGGGAUUUAAACAUUUCAGUGUGGGAAAACACACAAAGCUGAAACAGAAGCAGAUUCAAUCUUUUAAUUCCUCAAUUGUAUCGCUUCUAUUCCUACAUAUAAUAAACGGUAUAGAUGGCACAAGGGUCAGAAAUUAACCCGACUUAGGCUAAAAUGUCACAGAUAUUUAUAAUAUAGAGGCAACAUGCUUUUCCAGUGAAUUCCCAUGUUUGUACUUAACAAUUGAAAGGUAUAUAAUAGAAAUGCUUGUAUUCAUACACUUUAGUGUCACUUUCAAUUAGUUAAUUCAUUUGAAAUAGCCUGUUUGGCAUUGGGCGGCAUGGUUGUGUUUUAAAUUAGGAAAGAAAUAAAAAUAGCCCUCAUAAAGGUCAUAAAUGCCAGUGAAAAUCAAUUCCAGUUUUAAUUUCUGACAUUGGGUGGAACAGAUAUAUCUCCAUAAUGCACUUCAGGCCCCUCCUGUCCCGUAAUGAUGAUGGAUGAGGGAGCCAAGUUUGCACAGUAGUAAGCUACAACAAGGAAGAUUUAGAGCCUUAAAUUCAUCUAACCUUUGCCUGUGAGUUGCAUCAUUUAAUUCAAACUGAUACGAUCUCUGGAGGAAGAAAACAAUAAUAAUAUCUCUACUGCCUGUAUAAAAUAUGGUCCAAGGUAGAUGGAGGGAGAGAGAUAGUGUUGCUGUUGUUGUGUAAAGUGGGUUUUGGAGCCCAUGGUCAUGCAUUAACACAAUCAAUUUCCCAGCAGAAGCUAUUACAGACCCAACACUUCACUGUUGUCUUUAUGCAUUUACCGCAACUCAAGAGAUUCGUCACGGCUCAGCUCCAGAUUGAAUGCCUUGAUUCACAUGCUCUGUUCAUAGACGGGGUUCAGGUCUGGUUCCGAGCUGAGAAGGUUUAGUUUGAAGAUGCUUUAUGCUGUUCACCUGGGCUGAAUCUGUCAUAGAUAAACAGUUGAGUAACAUCCGAGAUGCGCUGUGAUAUAGGCUAUACGCACGUAGGAAAUGAAACUAAUUUUUUUUUUUUUUUUUAUGAGAGUGGCAACCGUCAGAAGAAUGAAUGAACUGAGUGAAUGAGUCAUUAGACCGAAGAGAUUGCACAAGUAUCUUGCUUGGUUCUGUGUAAGCGUGUUGAGGCAAAACACUACUAGAAAGCAAAUGUUGAGUGACAUUAACAAUUUUUUAAUUUUUUUAUUUUUUAUUUUUUUGUCAAUGUCUCAUAACUUCAUGUAGGCCUACCAUAUUUGAGUGGGUUGUUAGAUUAACAGAAAACAUAAGUUUAAAUUCUGUACAUCUGUUGUACAUUAAACUUAAUUUUCUUUCAUAACAAUUAUUAUGCCAUAACCUCAAUCCACCCAUUUUAUUUUUAAACAUGAUAAUUUACAAUGGUAAACAAACAUUUAAACAAUUAAAAUAUUUCAAUUCAAAACCAGCUAAAAUUGUAGAGCAAAUACAUAAAACAUAAGCUAACAACUAAAACAUCAGCUAAAAACAAGUCUUGAGUGUAUGUUUGUGCUGAGCUUUUGUCUAGCUUGUGAGAACCGCUUGUCCCUACAAGGACAGUAAAACCUGAAAUCACCUACAUCCUGUGAAGCAGCCAACGUUCCCCAUGAGGAAAAUAGCUUAGUAAACAAACUAAAUAAUGUCUUAAUUAAAAUGCAAGAAAGCAGUUUUGUGAGGGUUUGGUUUAGCGGUCAGAGAGAAAAAAAAUAAUUUGCUUAGUAUAAAACCAAGUCAAUAUCAACGGAAAAUCUCCAUAAUAAAAAAAAGAAAGAAAGAAGGCUUAUGUGAAUGUACUGUAUAUCAAAUUAAUUAGUCUUACAACUUCUACUGUGACCUCAGAAGGAUGCUGGUCAUGUAUGAUAGUUCACCCCGUAGCUCAUUUUUAAUUGGUACAGCACUCCCUGCUCUUUUUUAACCAUUUCUUGCUGUUUGACCAAAUGGAAGUUAAUGAGAUAUACUUUUUUCCCAGUGUAUGCUUUUGUUUAUUUGUCCUACAUGAAUGAGUGACACUGAGUUUAAAAGAUUCAUCUCUUAAAACUACUAUAAAUGCAUACCACAAGAGUGCACUGCCCCCCUGCAAUUCUUCUUAUCUCUGCUGAACCAGUCAACCCUCUUUCAGAGAGCGCCAGAUAACAUCUACCUCUCCUGAAACUUCACCAUGAAGCAGAUUCAGCACUUUUCAUGUGGGUGUGUGAAUAAAGUCAGUCACAACAGCUGGCCACAUUGUGUCCACUAAGCCCACGCCAGUCCUGCUGUCUUGUGUUCAUCCUUGGUCAGGCUUGAGUAACUGAUUUAACCUUUAAAGCAUGGAGGUCUCUUCACUGGCCGGGACUGAACGGACCUCGUGCUCUCUAUUGUUCCCUUAACACACACACACCUGCAGGAGAUGACUUUGGGAGAGUGGGGGUGGGGAGUAAAACUGCACAGGUGGGGCGGUAACCCGUUUUACAGCUGUGGAGUAACAAGUUGUGACUUCUCAAUUGUAAUCCCACUGUAAACAACUGUGAUUUCAGUGCUCUUGUGUGGGAGAGCUCUAAUCUCUGCGUGAGUCUCUCUGAAACCCAUCACAACUGUUGAGUUGUGAAAACAGAUAUGAGGGCCCAUUUUUCAAGAUCAUUUUACAGUUUUAGUGGGCAGUAUGACCAAAAUCUUAUGACAGUUUUAUCGAUAUCUUAUACAUUUUUUACCAAUAUCUCAACAAUUAUAUAACUAAAUAAUAUACAUAUUACUAAAUAAUAAAAUUACUAAAUGAUAAAAUAAUAUUAUUUGGUUCCACUGCUGGAACUUUACCCACGAACUAGAAACUUUGGGCUGGUACUCGGUGUGUUUCCACUGCAGGAGCCAGGAUCUAAAUAAAGUUCCGGGUAAAAAAAAAAAAAUGCCCCUCAGAAAGUCCUUCCUCGCGAGGUAGUACUUUUUCAAAGGUCCGGAACUUUCGGGGGCAGGACUUGGGCGCUAAACAUGCUGAUUGGUUGAGUUCACACUGUAUUUUGAUUUCAACCACCAUUUAUUCAGAUAAUAAUGUAGUUUUAAAAGUAUUUCAGGCGAGAAUGGAGUUGUUUAAAACUCAAAUAUGUGGUUUAUUUAUAAAGAGAGGCAUAUUUAAAAAUGUUUUGCCGAUUUCGGAGAUGAUCAGCUCCACACGAUCAGCGGGAGCUCAGUG